GAUGAAGAACGCAGCGAAAUGCGAUAAGUAGUGUGAAUUGCAGAAUUCAGUGAAUCAUCGAAUCUUUGAACGCACAUUGCGCCCCUUGGUAUUCCAUGGGGCAUGCCUGUUCGAGCGUCAUUUGUACCUUCAAGCUUUGCUUGGUGUUGGGUGUUUGUCCUGAGGGACUCGCCUUAAAAUUAUUGGCAGCCAGUGUUUUGGUUUUGAAGCGCAGCACAAGACGCGAUUCAAACGAAUACGCCAGCUUCCACAAGCCUUUUUCACUUUUGACCUCGGAUCAGGUAGGGAUACCCGCUGAACUUAAGCAUAUCAAUAAGCGGAGGA
rnacentral:misc_RNA from 1 species